AGCUCUCCUGUUAAUAAUAAUAAUACUUCUCACUGUGUUCUGCUGCCGGAGAAAAAAGACGGCUUCUAGUCAUUCUCCAAAGAGUGAAAUAUCAGACAACAAACAGCAGGUCAGCAUUAAUCCCAUAUAUGCAAAGAACCCAGCUCAGCAUAGCAGGAUGCCUGACACCGUGAACCACGAAGCUCAUCUCUAUCACAAUGAAGUUGAUCUCUAUUCCAAUGGCACUAGUCUCUACUGUAACCUCUAAUAUUGAGUCAUUGCCUACAACAAAAGCACCACAGUUGAUGAGUCCAGAGUGUAAAACAAUCACACUCUAUAUUGGAAAUAUACAGUAAAAUCACAGUAAAAAUGAGUAAAAAAGUAAAAAUGCAUGGGGUUUUCUAUUUAACGAUAGCCUACGAUAUUACGUGUUGCAAAAAACCUGGAAAGUGCAUCACAACAUAAAAAUGCUAUUGUUAACUUUGUCAGACACGCUAGCUGUACUACUUUGUGUUGCUUUGUGAAUUUAUAAC